AAAAAGGCAAACCCUGGGUUUGCGUGUUCAACUUUGACUGUCCGUCUUAUAUGAAAUUUUUUUAUAAUUCGUAUUUUCAUUGUUGUUAGAUGAUAAAACAUGAUUAAUAUUUUAUACGUGACUUGUUUUUUAAUUCUUUUUAAAAAAUUUUCAAAUAAGACGGACGGUCAAACAUUAGGCACGGAAACCAGGGUUUGUCUUUUU
rnacentral:pre_miRNA from 1 species